UCCUGACAUCGUGAUCCGCCCACCUCAGCCGCCCAAAGUGGUGGGAUUACAGACGUGAGCCACCAGCUUUUUUUUUUUUUUAGACAGAGUCUCACUCUGUCACCCAGGCUGGAGUGCAGUGGUGCAAUCUUGGCUGACUGCAACCUCCGCCUCCUUCAAUCUGGGUUGAACUCCUGGGUUCAAGUGAUUCUUCUGCCUCAGCCUCCCCAGUAGCUGGGACUACAGGGUGUACCACCCCACCUGGCUAUUUUGUAUUUCUUGUAGAGAUGAGGUUUUGCCAUGUUGGCCAAGCUGGUCUUGAACUCCUGACCUCAAGCAAUCCACCCCCGUCCUUGGCCUCCCAAAGUGCUGAGAUGACAGGAGUGAGCCACUGCACCCGGUCCUCCUCCUUUACAGAUUUACAGAUAUGCUCAGAACUGACACACACAAGAAAUCAGAGGGGCUUGGAGAGAAUCCAGCCCCGGCACUGACACUGACGGAGAAGCUGAGGUAGAGACCCCGGUCCCAUAUGCAGAUUCCCCCAAACCGUUCAGCCACCACCCCACCAAUAAGCUGCACCAAACACUGACACCCCCCAUGGCUCCCAGAGUUCUGUUCAGCCAAUCAAUUAUGCUGAGGAGGGGGCCGGGUGUGGUGGCUCACACCUGUCAUCCCAGCACUUUGGGAGGCCGAGGCAGGUGGAUCACCUGAGGUCCGGAGUUCGAGACCAGCCUGGCCAACAUGGUGAAACCCCGUCUCUACUAAAAAUACAAAAAUUUGCCGGGCGUGGUGGCGGGCACUUGUAAUCCCAGCUACUCAGGAGGCUGAGGCAGGAGAGUUGCUUGAACCCAGGAGGUGGAUGUUGCAGUGAGCCGAGAUCGCGCCCUUGUCUUUAAAGAGCUCAAAGAGAAGCCUAAGCCGACUGGAAGAGACAUGAGGUGAACCCAGGGAGCACCCGUGGCCUGGCCGAGGCUUCUCCUUGAACUCCUGGUAUUCCAACCUGCCCAGGAGUCCUUCCGGGUGGGAGAGAAGGCGAUUUUCUUUCUCCUUACAUAAGAGCCAUGCGGCUCAGCCCCUGGAAGUCAGGAGUGUUUCCAUAGUCCUGAGCAGUGAGUCCACACAGCUAAUCUGCUUUGGAUUUUCGGAAGGGCCUCGCUACUGGGCCCAUCAUCAUCCUGUGUCUUAUCUUGAUGUUUUCCAAAGGACAUUGCUUAAAGAAACUCAAAGCAAACCCUGGGAAAGGCAGCCCAUUCUACCUUUUCCAGCUCUGAAGACUGGCCUGCUUUUGAAUAAUAGCUGGGGUGCACCUAGAAAUCAGGGGCGAAUCACACAAAAUGAGCGGGACCCAGGAGACCAGGGGCUUGCACAAGACAGGUCUCUUCUCAAAGCCGUCCUUCCAGAGCAGGACCGUCAGUCCCUCGCCUGGGUCAUGGAGAUGCGGUGUCCUCAGAGGACUCGGCUUCUGGCCCGAGGCCUCUCCCGGCAGGGUCUGAGAAACGAAAGCUGCCUCACCAUGAAUGCCAGUCCUGCGUUUUUGUUUUUUCUGCACUAAAUUAAGCCGCUGCCCAAGUGGGAGUUAAGUCAGACAGGAAGAGGGCAGGACCCCCACACCGCUGCUGCGUACUGUUUCGGAACAGCUUGUCUUCCGUAAGCCCUGCCAGACAGUGGAUUAAACACACCCCAGGCCCCGCAUGCUGGCUGGUGCCCCGUGCCCGACACCGGCCCUCUCCCAGCCCCCAGGUCUUGGGCUGUUCUGUGGCUCAUGAUGUGUGGAUUUGCCUGCUGUUGAACCAGGUCUUCUCUUUCCUUCAUAUGCACCUGUCAACCAAAAUGCUUUUUGAAAAACAGAACUUUACAGCUGGGCAUGGUGGCUCACACCUGUCAUCUCAGCACUUCAGGAAGCCGAGGGGUGGGGAUUGCUUGAUCCCAGGAGUUUGAGACCAGCCUGGGCAACAUAGUGAGUCCUCAUCUCUACACUUUUUUUGUUGUUGUUUUGUUUUGUUUUUUAAUAGAGACAGGGUCUCCCUCUGUCACACAGGCUGGAGUGCAGUGGCACGAUCAUAGCUCAUUGCAGCCUUGAACUCCUGGGCUCUAGCAACCCUCCCACUUCUGCCUCCUGAGUUGCUGGGACCACUGGAGUGCACCCCCACAUCCAGCCGUAAAGCUCUACUUUUAUAAUUUAUGUUUAUAUUUUUAUUGCUCUGUUCUCAUAAUUUAUCAUUUUUUUAACAUUUAUUUCUAUUUUUGUAGAGACAGGGUCUUACCAUCUUGCCCAGGCUGCUCUUGAACUCCUGGGCUCAAGCCAUCCUCCCUCCUCGGCCUCCCAAAGUGCCGGGAUUACAGGUGUGAGCCACCACACCCAGCCAACUACAAAAUUUUUGUUAAAAUUAGCCUGGCAUGGUGGCCGCCUGUACCUGUAGUCUGAGAUUCUCAGGAGGGUGAGCUCAGAUUCUCAUGAGGGUGAGGUGGGUGGCAGGUACCUGUAGUCUCAGAUACUCAGGAGGGUGAGGUGGGAGAAUCACUUGAGCCCACGUCAAGGCUGCAAUGAGCUAUGAUCACGCCAUCGCACUACUGGGUGGUAGAACGAGACCCUGUCCUAAAAAUGUUUUUAACAAAAAGUUAUUUUGUUCCUUAGUUUAGAUUAAGGUGAUAGUUUUCAAAGAACAUUGAAAGGGACCUGUCAUAUUCAGUAAAGAAGCGAAUUGAAUUAAAAACACAAACCUGACAGAACACAGCCCAUAUGAGUGUACCCACACAUGUUGGUGAGCUCGAUUCAUAACCCUGAGCCCCCGAGACUCACAAAGAUGGCCUGAAACAGAUACAGGCAAAGGGCUACCAAAGUUCUCGCUUUCAGGGCUAUCAGGUCUGAAGGAACAGGCUGGCUUUCUUAGUUUUGUUUUGUUUUUUGUUUGUUUGGGUUUUUUUGUUUUUUGUUUUGAGACAGUGUUUUGCUCUCGUUGCCCAGGCUGGAGUGCAGUGGCACGAUCUAAGCUCACUGCAACCUCCACCUCCUGGGUUCAAGUGAUUCUCCUGCCUCAGCCUCCCGAGUAGCUGGGAUUACAGAAGCCUACCAGCACACCCAGCUAAUUUUUGUAUUUUUAGUACAGACAGGGUUUCACCAUGUUGAAAUCAGCCAAGCUGAUCUCAAACUCCUGACCUCAGGUGAUCUACCUGCCUUGGCCUCCUGAAGUGCUGGGAUUAUAGGUGUGAGCCACUGUGCCCCGUUGGCUUUUUUUCUGAUCUCUCAGUUGGGAGACCACCCGUUUGGCUGGAGUCGUGGGGUCUGGCCAGGUCCAAAUGAUGACACAAACCCAGACAGGAAGUGCAGCUGGCAUCCAUCAGUCCAGUGUGCCCAGUGUGGGGAGUCCCCUGAUGCCAGUCAAACACGGCUCCACUCUGGAGGCCUCUUUGUAAGCUAAGAGCUGAUUCUCCCAAAUGCUCCCUAGUUACACAGAAAAGGACCUUCCUUGUCUUCUGCAAAAUAAAUCCAGGUGGGAUUUGGCAAAGAGCUGGGGCACAUGGCCUCCUCGGAGCUGCAUCAAUACACUUGCACUUCGGGCUCCGUUCUGCGUAUUCGUGCUGGACGAGGACUUGCAGACCAGAAAAGUAGCCCUUGGGUGAGCAGUUGAAGUUAAGACCCUCGGCUCCUGGGCUGACUUGCUAGAAGGGCGUGCUGUCAUUAUCCCUGGGGAUCAAACGUCUGGUCUGUGUGGCCACACUCCAAAGGCAGGCUCAAAGGUCUCCAUGGUACUCCAGGGCCCCUUGAGGAUUCGGGUCUGUGGGGGCUGCCCGGGAAGGGACGGAGAGCGAGGGCCCUUGGAGGCAGCCUGUUUGCUCCACACAAUGACAGGUGACUUAGCUGUGUCCUUCCCGGGAGCCACAGUGGCUUCACGUACCCCUCUCCUAUCCCCAGUUCAGAGCAGAAUACAUGCAGGCUGGAGGCAGCUGUGGUUUGCAGCCUGAUACUUGCUGAAGACAUUUACAUGCUUUGAAGAAAUGUGUUUCAGUUUUGGGUCUUUACUGAGAAUGAGCCAGAGGGGGAAGAACUUGUGGUGAGGGAGGGUCUUAUCUCUUCCCAGGCCACAUCAGCCUGGGGCCAACUGGGGCAGUGUUGUUGCCCCUCUCCCCGCUCCCUUGUAGGACUUCCACCCCCA
rnacentral:lncRNA from 10 species